AUUGAACGCUGGCGGCAGGCCUAACACAUGCAAGUCGAGCGAGCGGCGGACGGGUGAGUAAUGUAUGGGGACUGCCCGAUAGAGGGGGAUAACUACUGGAAACGGUGGCUAAUACCGCAUACUCUCGGAUAACCCAUAUGGGAUUCGCUAGUAUGUGGGGUAAAGGCUCACCUGGGCUACGAUCUCUUGCUGGUAUGAGAGGAUGAUCCGCCACACUGGGAGCGAGACACGGCCCAGACUCCGACGGAGGAAGCAGUGGGGAAUAGUGCACAAUGGGCGCAAGCCUGAUGCAGCCAUGGCGCGUGUAUGAAUAAGGCCUGAGGGUUGUAAAGUACUUUCAGCUGGUAGGCGUUACCCGCAGAAGAAGCACCGGCUAACUCCGUGCCAGCAGCCGCGGUAAUUC
rnacentral:rRNA from 1 species